UCCCUGGUGCCUCAGAGGUUAAAGCGUCUGCCUGCAAUGCAGGAAACCUGGGUUCGAUCCCUGGGUUGGGAA
rfam:TPA: Bos taurus chromosome 5, whole genome shotgun sequence.